rnacentral:rRNA from 1 species
GUUGGAAGUAGGCGAUGGGUAGGCAAAUCCGCCCGUCAUAUACCGAGGCCAAUGAUCGAGCCAGCUUGCUGGUGAAGUGACUGAACGAGGUUCCAGGAAAAGCCACUAAGCUUCAGCUACACACGACCGUACCGCAAACCGACACUGGUGCGCGAGAUGAGUAUUCUAAGGCGCUUGAGAGAACUCAGGAGAAGGAACUCGGCAAAUUGACACCGUAACUUCGGAAGAAGGUGUGCCCUAUUAGUGUGAAGUGAACAACGGAGCAUGAAUGGGUUGCAAAAAAUCGGUGGCUGCGACUGUUUAUUAAAAACACAGCACUCUGCAAACACGAAAGUGGACGUAUAGGGUGUGACGCCUGCCCGGUGCUGGAAGAUUAAAUGAUGGGGUGCAAGCUCUUGAUUGAAGUCCCAGUAAACGGCGGCCGUAACAAUAACGGUCCUAAGGUAGCGAAAUUCCUUGUCGGGUAAGUUCCGACCUGCACGAAUGGCGUAACGAUGGCCACACUGUCUCCUCCUGAGACUCAGCGAAGUUGAAAUGUUUGUGAUGAUGCAAUCUCCCCGCGGAAAGACGGAAAGACCCCAUGAACCUUUACUGUAGCUUUGUAUUGGACUUUGAACAGAUCUGUGUAGGAUAGGUGGGAGGCUUUGAAGCAGGGUCGCUAGAUCUUGUGGAGCCAACGUUGAAAUACCACCCUGGUGUGUUUGAGGUUCUAACCUAGGUCCAUUAUCUGGAUCGGGGACAGUGCAUGGUAGGCAGUUUGACUGGGGCGGUCUCCUCCCAAAGCGUAACGGAGGAGUCCGAAGGUACGCUAGUUACGGUCGGACAUCGUGACGAUAGUGCAAUGGCAUAAGCGUGCUUAACUGCCAGACUGACAAGUCGAGCAGAUGCGAAAGCAGGACAUAGUGAUCCGGUGGUUCUGUAUGGAAGGGCCAUCGCUCAACGGAUAAAAGGUACUCUGGGGAUAACAGGCUGAUACCGCCCAAGAGUUCAUAUCGACGGCGGUGUUUGGCACCUCGAUGUCGGCUCAUCUCAUCCUGGGGCUGUAGCCGGUCCCAAGGGUAUGGCUGUUCGCCAUUUAAAGAGGUACGUGAGCUGGGUUUAAAACGUCGUGAGACAGUUUGGUCCCUAUCUUCCGUGGGCGCUGCAGAUUUGAGGAAGCCUGCUCCUAGUACGAGAGGACCGGAGUGGACACACCUCUGGUGUAUCGGUUGUCACGCCAGUGGCAUUGCCGAGUAGCUAAGUGUGGAAGAGAUAACCGCUGAAAGCAUCUAAGCGGGAAACUCGUUUCAAGAUGAGAUCUGCCGGGGCCUCGAGCCCCCUGAAGAGUCGUUCAAGACCAGGACGUUGAUAGGUCGGGUGUGGAAGCGCAGUAAUGCGUUAAGCUAACCGAUACUAAUUGCUCGUGCGGCUUGACCCU